rnacentral:rRNA from 1 species
GACGAACGCUGGCGGCGUGCUUAACACAUGCAAGUCGAACGGAAAGGCCCUGCUUUUGUGGGGUGCUCGAGUGGCGAACGGGUGAGUAACACGUGAGUAACCUGCCCUUGACUUUGGGAUAACUUCAGGAAACUGGGGCUAAUACCGGAUAGGAGCUCCUGCUGCAUGGUGGGGGGUGGAGAGUUUCGGCGGUUGGGGAUGGACUCGCGGCUUAUCAGCUUGUUGGUGGGGUAGUGGCUUACCAAGGCUUUGACGGGUAGCCGGCCUGAGAGGGUGACCGGCCACAUGGGGACUGGGAUACGGCCCAGACUCCUACGGGGGGCAGCAGGGGGGAAUAUUGCACAAUGGGCGGAAGCCUGAUGCAGCAACGCCGCGUGCGGGAUGACGGCCUUCGGGUUGUAAACCGCUUUCGCCUGUGACGAAGCGUGAGUGACGGUAAUGGGUUAAGAAGCACCGGCUAACUACGUG